GCAGAGAGGAGGUGUUGAUUUUAGAAAUACAAGGGGGGAGUUUGGAGGGGCACUGCGGUAGCCAUGUUUUUAUUAUUUUGGGGGAGGCAAGGGAAUACAGAAUUUGAAGACCCCGCUUUCAAGUUCCUGGACGUGAAAUAAAAAUUUGGUAACCUGCAAAGAUUGUGUGCUCUUAUUGGAUCCAUUUGUCACCGAAGUCGGGUGCAUUUCAUCUUGCAUGCAAUAUUAGUAGGAGAUGAAUAUCUGGAAGAGGCCCACGCUUCAUUGAACCUAGGUGCGUUUCCAGUCACUGACCGCAAAGGGGAACAACUGCUUUCUCCAAUAAUAAUGCCUACACGUCUGUUUUUUUA
rnacentral:lncRNA from 1 species